rnacentral:rRNA from 1 species
UACGUAGGGUGCGAACGUUGUCCGGAAUUAUUGGGCGUAAAGAGCUUGUAGGCGGUUUGUCGCGUCUGCCGUGAAAAUCCGGGGCUCAACCCCGGACUUGCGGUGGGUACGGGCAGACUAGAGUGUGGUAGGGGAGACUGGAAUUCCUGGUGUAGCGGUGAAAUGCGCAGAUAUCAGGAGGAACACCGAUGGCGAAGGCAGGUCUCUGGGCCACUACUGACGCUGAGAAGCGAAAGCGUGGGGAGCGAACAGG